rnacentral:rRNA from 1 species
GGGUCAGUAGGUUGGUCGUGCCACCGGUACGUACUGGUCUCACUGAUUCCUCCUUCCUGAAGAACCGUAAUGCCAUUAAUUUGGUGUUGCGGGGAAACAGGACUGUUACUUUGCAAAAAAUUAGAGUGUUUAAAGCAAGCUAACGCUUGAAUACAUUAGCAUGGAAUAAUGAAAUAGGACGAUCGAUCCUAUUUUGUUGGUUUCUAGGAUUGACGUA